UACGUAGGUGGCAAGCGUUAUCCGGAAUUACUGGGCGUAAAGCGCACGCAGGCGGUCUUUUAAGUUUGACGUGAAAGCUCUCGGCUUAACUGGGAGAGGUCGUUGAAUACUGGGAGACUUGAGGAAAUGAGAGGGGUGUAGAAUUCCCGGUGUAGUGGUGGAAUGCGUAGAUAUCGGGGGGACUACCAGUGGCGAAAGCGGCACCCUAGCAUUUUUCUGACGCUCAUGUGCGAAAGCGUGGGGAGCGAACGGG
rnacentral:rRNA from 1 species